rnacentral:snRNA from 1 species
AUAUAGUCUGUGUGGUCUCGA